rnacentral:rRNA from 1 species
GCAAGUCGACGGUAGCACAGAGAGCUUGCUCUCGGGUGACGAGUGGCGGACGGGUGAGUAAUGUCUGGGAAACUGCCUGAUGGAGGGGGAUAACUACUGGAAACGGUAGCUAAUACCGCAUAACGUCGCAAGACCAAAGAGGGGGACCUUCGGGCCUCUUGCCAUCAGAUGUGCCCAGAUGGGAUUAGCUAGUAGGUGGGGUAACGGCUCACCUAGGCGACGAUCCCUAGCUGGUCUGAGAGGAUGACCAGCCACACUGGAACUGAGACACGGUCCAGACUCCUACGGGAGGCAGCAGUGGGGAAUAUUGCACAAUGGGCGCAAGCCUGAUGCAGCCAUGCCGCGUGUAUGAAGAAGGCCUUCGGGUUGUAAAGUACUUUCAGCGGGGAGGAAGGCGGUGAGGUUAAUAACCUCAUCGAUUGACGUUACCCGCAGAAGAAGCACCGGCUAACUCCGUGCCAGCAGCCGCGGUAAUACGGAGGGUGCAAGCGUUAAUCGGAAUUACUGGGCGUAAAGCGCACGCAGGCGGUCUGUCAGUCGGAUGUGAAAUCCCCGGGCUCAACCUGGGAACUGCAUUCGAAACUGGCAGGCUAGAGUCUUGUAGAGGGGGGUAGAAUUCCAGG